GUGGCGGGAGCUAUACAUGCAGUCGACGCUUCUUUUUCCACCGGAGCUUGCUCCACCGGAAAAAGAGGAGUGGCGAACGGGUGAGUAACACGUGGGUAACCUGCCCAUCAGAAGGGGAUAACACUUGGAAACAGGUGCUAAUACCGUAUAACAAUCGAAACCGCAUGGUUUUGAUUUGAAAGGCGCUUUCGGGUGUCGCUGAUGGAUGGACCCGCGGUGCAUUAGCUAGUUGGUGAGGUAACGGCUCACCAAGGCGACGAUGCAUAGCCGACCUGAGAGGGUGAUCGGCCACAUUGGGACUGAGACACGGCCCAAACUCCUACGGGAGGCAGCAGUAGGGAAUCUUCGGCAAUGGACGAAAGUCUGACCGAGCAACGCCGCGUGAGUGAAGAAGGUUUUCGGAUCGUAAAACUCUGUUGUUAGAGAAGAACAAGGAUGAGAGUAACUGUUCAUCCCUUGACGGUAUCUAACCAGAAAGCCACGGCUAACUACGUGCCAGCAGCCGCGGUAAUACGUAGGUGGCAAGCGUUGUCCGGAUUUAUUGGGCGUAAAGCGAGCGCAGGCGGUUUCUUAAGUCUGAUGUGAAAGCCCCCGGCUCAACCGGGGAGGGUCAUUGGAAACUGGGAGACUUGAGUGCAGAAGAGGAGAGUGGAAUUCCAUGUGUAGCGGUGAAAUGCGUAGAUAUAUGGAGGAACACCAGUGGCGAAGGCGGCUCUCUGGUCUGUAACUGACGCUGAGGCUCGAAAGCGUGGGGAGCAAACAGGAUUAGAUACCCUGGUAGUCCACGCCGUAAACGAUGAGUGCUAAGUGUUGGAGGGUUUCCGCCCUUCAGUGCUGCAGCUAACGCAUUAAGCACUCCGCCUGGGGAGUACGACCGCAAGGUUGAAACUCAAAGGAAUUGACGGGGGCCCGCACAAGCGGUGGAGCAUGUGGUUUAAUUCGAAGCAACGCGAAGAACCUUACCAGGUCUUGACAUCCUUUGACCACUCUAGAGAUAGAGCUUCCCCUUCGGGGGCAAAGUGACAGGUGGUGCAUGGUUGUCGUCAGCUCGUGUCGUGAGAUGUUGGGUUAAGUCCCGCAACGAGCGCAACCC
rnacentral:rRNA from 1 species